GACGAACGCUGGCGGCAGGCCUAACACAUGCAAGUCGAGCGAGCGGCGGACGGGUGAGUAAUGUAGGGGGAUCUGCCCGAUAGAGGGGGAUAACUACUGGAAAAGGUGGCUAAUACCGCAUACUAUCGGAUGUACCCAGAUGGGAUUAGAUAGUAGGUGGGGUAAAGGCUCACCGAGGCGACGAUCGCUAGCUGGGCUGAGAGGAUGAUCAGCCACACUGGGACUGAGACACGGCCCAGACUCCUACGGGAGGCAGCAGUGGGGAAUAGUGCACAAUGGGCGCAAGCCUGAUGCAGCCAUGCCGCGUGUAUGAAGAAGGCCUUAGGGUUGUAAAGUACUUUCAGCGGGGAGGCGUUACCCGCAGAGGAAGCACCGGCUAACUCCGUGCCAGCCGCCGCGGUAAUAC
rnacentral:rRNA from 1 species